AUUGAACGCUGGCGGCAUGCUUUACACAUGCAAGUCGAGCGGCAGCGCGGGGGCAACUCUGGCGGCGAGCGGCGGACGGGUGAGUAAUGCAUCGGAACGUAUCCCGUAGUGGGGGACAACCCAGCGAAAGCUGGGCUAAUACCGCAUAUGCUCUACGGAGGAAAGUGGGGGACCCAGCAGGCAACUGAGGGGCCUCACGCUAUGGGAGCGGCCGAUGUCCGAUUAGCUAGUUGGUGGGGUAAAGGCUUACCAAGGCGACGAUCGGUAGCUGGUCUGAGAGGAUGAUCAGCCACACUGGGACUGAGACACGGCCCAGACUCCUACGGGAGGCAGCAGUGGGGAAUUUUGGACAAUGGGGGCAACCCUGAUCCAGCCAUGCCGCGUGCGGGAAGAAGGCCUUCGGGUUGUAAACCGCUUUUGGUCGGGAAGAAAGGGUUCGGGCUAAUACCCUGGACUGU
rnacentral:rRNA from 1 species